AUUAAAUCUACACUGCCCAGAGAUUAUAUGCGUCAUUCGCGCUUUUCAUCAUCGGGACAGUGGCUCAAAAUUGAAGGCUCGGAGCCACAACGAGUCACAAUGUAUGGUGACUGAGGCUGUCAUUCUGCCUGACAUCUCCUUUUGUGCUCCACGGAAACAGAAAAUGUCAUACAGGCUAGGAACACUAUGAGGCUGUGUUUAUUCCCUGCCCACACUUGACUGAUCUUGCAACUUCUCUCGCUGCAAGAGCACACUGCAAGCUUGCUUUCCCAGUUACAUCACAUCAAUACUCUAAGUUUGCAUUAGAAGGACUAUUGUAUAAGUAGCAUUUCUAGUGUUGCUCAGAAAAGGAUCACGACACAGAACACGGAAGUCAUCAGAAUUAGUAUGGAUAUCCACACAUGCUUUUUGACAAGAAUGUCAAGGUUGAAGGCAACUGGGAGAAUAUGAAGCAAAACGGCGUCUCGAGAGAAAUCUCGCUGCUGUCAUGUGCACCUCGCAAAGCUUCUGCGCGUGGAGGUCAGCAGCUCUAGCCCAGACUCCCUCCGCAUACUGAAAGAUCCAACAGCCUACUGUUAGCGUCCCUGUGGGCCACCUUUCACUGUCUCUGCCAGUAAUUCAGACACCUGAUGCACUCCAUCGUUGGUUUAAUGGGACCAAUUAAAUCACUCUCUCCAGAUCUAAAGACAUGGAACAUUUUAAGGCACGGCCAUAUCCAAACUGUCUGCCAGUGGGUGGGGAGUCGAAUGGAAUUGAUCCUGAGAUAACAGACCAAUUCAAGUUUAAAUGGACUGCGGUCAGAUCUGACAGUUGCAGGAAAUUAUCUAAAUGUGUGGUUCUCAACUGGUUUUGCUCUAAGAUCCCGAUCUUACAAUGGACAUUGAGUCCCAACAAAGAACCAAAAUGGUUACACAUACAAAAGUAAAUAAAAAUGUCUUUAAAAUCAAAAUUUGUCCAUUUUAACAUGAACCACACUGGCCAAACAAUUUGCAAAAUUAGUAACAUGACAUGAAAACUUAAAAGGCAUAAACAAGAGCAGAAGUAUGAUUUA